ensembl:lncRNA
UGACAGAGAGAGGUAGAGUUUGAGGUGGGAGUAGAGGUAUUUUUUAUUUAACUAAUCAAGUCAGUUAAGAAUAAAUUAUUAUUUACAAUGACGGCCUACCCUGGAUGACGCUGGGCCAAUUGUGCACCACCCUUUCAGAUUCCCAAUCACGGCAGGAUGUGAUGCAGCCUGGAUUCAAAUCAGGUACUGCAGUGACACCUCUUGCACUGAGAUGCAGUGUCUUAGACCACUGCGCCACUGGGGAGAGGUAGAGACAGAGGUGGACAUAGAGGUGGAGGUGGAGAUAGAGGUGGAGGUAGAGAUAGAGGUGGAGGUAGAGAUAGAGAUCGAGGUGGCGGUAGAGGUAGAGAGAGGUGGAGAUAGAGAUAGAGGGAGGUAGAGAGAAGUGGCGAUGGAGAUAGAGAUAAAGGUGGAGGUUGGGGUGGAGGUAGAGAUGAAGGCAGAGGAGUAGGUGGAGAUAGAGGUGGAGGUGGGGGUAGAGAUGAAGGCGGAGGAGUAGGUGGAGAUAGAGGUGGAGGUGGGGGUAGAGAUGGAGGAGGAGGUAGAGAUGGAGGUAUUUGUAUUUAUUAUGGAUCAAAUCAAAUGUAUUUAUAAAGCCCUUCUUACAUCAGCUGAUAUUUCAAAGUACUGUACAGAAACCCAGCCUAAAACCCCAAACAGCAAGCAACGCAGGUGUAGAAGCACGAUGGCCAGGAAAAACUCCCUAGAAAGGACUGAACCUAGGAAGAAACAUAGAGAGUAACCAGGCUAUGAGGGGUGGCCAUUCCUCUUCUGGCUGUGCCGGGUGGCCAAGAUGUUCAAAUGUUCAUAGAUGACCAGCAGGGUCAAAUAAUAAUAAUCACAGUGGUUGUCGAGGGUGCAACAGCUCAGCACCUCAGGAGUAAAUGUCAGUUAGCAUUUCAUAGCCGAUCAUUCAGAGUAUCUCUGCCACUCCUGCUGUCUCUAGAGAGUUGAAAACAGCAGGUCUGGGACAGGUAGCACAUCCGGUGAAAAGGUCAGGGUUCCAUAGGCGCAGGCAGAACAGUUGAAAUUGGAGCAGCAGCACGGCCAGGUGGACUGGGGACAGCAAGGAGUCAUCAGGCCAGGUAGUCCUGAGGCAUGGUCCUAAGGCUCAGGUCCUCCGAGAGAGAGAAAGAAAGAGAGAAAGAGAAAAAAAGAGAAAAUUAAAAAGAGCAUACUUAAAUUCACACAGAACACCGGAUUAGACAGGAGAAAUACUCCAGAUAUAACAGACUGACCCUAGCCCCCCGACACAAACUACUGCAGCAUAAAUACUGGAGGCUGAGAAAGGAGGGGUCGGGAGACACUGUGGCCCCAUCUGACGAUACCCCCGGACAGGGACAAACAGGCAGGAUAUAACCCCACCCACUUUGCCAAAGCACAGCCCCACACCACUAGAGGGAUAUCUUCAACCACAACUUACCAUCCUCAGACAAGGCCGAGUAUAGCCCACAAAGAUCUUCACCAUGGCACAACCCAAGGGGGGGUG